rnacentral:rRNA from 1 species
AUGAACGCUAGCGGUGCGCUUAACACAUGCAAGUCGAACGGAUCCAAGGGGCUUGCUCCUUGGGUUAGUGGCGAACGGGCGAGUAUAAAGUUUGUACCUGCCCUGAAGUCGGGGAUAACGCGCCGAAAGGCGUGCUAAUACCGGAUGGUCCCGAGAGGGUAAAGCCGCAAGGCGCUUCAGGAGGGGCAUGCUCCCUAUCAGCUAGUUGGCGGGGUAAAGGCCCACCAAGGCUAUGACGGGUAGUUGGUCUGAGAGGACGGCCAGCCGCAAUGGGACUGAGACACGGCCCAUACUCCUACGGGAGGCAGCAGUGAGGAAUCUUCCGCAAUGGGCGAAAGCCUGACGGAGCGACACCGCGUGGAGGAUGACGCGUUUAUUCGUGUAAACUCCUUUUCUAUGGGAAGAUAAUGACGGUACCAUAGGAAUAAGGGACGGCUAACUACGU